rnacentral:rRNA from 1 species
UAAUAGCGUAUAUUAAAGUUGUUGCAGUUAAAAAGCUCGUAGUCGGAUGUCGGGCUCGGGCAGGCUGUCGGCUUCGGUAGGACGGCAGGCUCGGGUCUUUCUGCCUGAGGAUCCAUCUCAUUCACUUGGGGUGGGGACGCAGGCCGUUUACUUUGAAAAAAUUAGAGUGUUCAAAGCAGGCCUACGCUUGAAUACAUUAGCAUGGAAUAAUGGAAUAGGACUUUGGUGCUAUUUUGUUGGUUUAUGGGACCGAAGUAAUGAUUAACAGGGACAGUUGGGGCCGUUUAUAUUUCGUUGUCAGAGGUGAAAUUCUUGGAUUUACGAAAGAUAAACUUCUGCGAAAGCAUUCGGCAAGGAUGUUUUCAUUGA